ACGGAAGGCAGCAGUGGGGGAUAUUGCACAAUGGGGGAAACCCUGAUGCAGCAAUGCCGCGUGAGGGAAGAAGGUCUUCGGAUUGUAAACCUAAGUAGUCAGGGAUGAAGAAAGUGACAUUACCUGAAGAGUAAGCUCCGGCUAACUACGUGCCAGCAGCCGCGGUAAUACGUAGGGAGCAAGCGUUAUCCGGAUUUACUGGGUGUAAAGGGCGUGUAGGCGGGACAUCAAGUCAGAUGUGAAAGCACGAGGCUCAACUUCGUGUCUGCAUUUGAAACUGACGUUCUUGAGUGUUGGAGAGGCUAACGGAACUCCUAGUGUAGCGGUGAAAUGCGUAGAUAUUAGGAAGAACACCAGUGGCGAAGGCGGUUAGCUGGACAAUAACUGACGCUGAGGCGCGAAAGCGUGGGUAGCAAACAGGAUUAGAUACCCUGGUA
rnacentral:rRNA from 1 species